GGGAAACUCUGUUUUCAGAAUGUGCUCAAUGUUACGAGGAUCUGAAGUUACAACACAAUUCAAGCUACUAAACCAUGGUCCUUUGAAUCUGAAAGUUCCAUUUUGAUGGUACAGAACUUCGGUGAUCCAUUCAUACAAGUUGCUUCGAAGUCCCAUGACUAAAGACGGUAACAUUCCGACGAUCGGCCAUACAGGUAAGAAG
rnacentral:misc_RNA from 1 species